rnacentral:rRNA from 1 species
CCUACGGGCGGCAGCAGUGAGGAAUAUUGGUCAAUGGACGAGAGUCUGAACCAGCCAAGUAGCGUGAAGGAUGACUGCCCUAUGGGUUGUAAACUUCUUUUAUAUGGGAAUAAAAUGUUCCACGUGUGGGAUUUUGUAUGUACCAUAUGAAUAAGGAUCGGCUAACUCCGUGCCAGCAGCCGCGGUAAUACGGAGGAUCCGAGCGUUAUCCGGAUUUAUUGGGUUUAAAGGGAGCGUAGGCGGAUUGUUAAGUCAGUCGUGAAAGUUUGGGGCUCAACCGUAGAAUUGCAGUUGAAACUGGCAGUCUUGAGUACAGUAGAAAUGGGCGGAAUGCGUGGUGUAGCGGUGAAAUGCAUAGAUAUCACGAAGAACUCCGAUUGCGAAGGCAGUACACUGGACUGCAACUGACACUGAGGCACGAAAGUGUGGGUAUCGAACAGGAUUAGAUACCCCAGUAGUC